rnacentral:rRNA from 1 species
GUGGGGAAUAUUGGACAAUGGGCGCAAGCCUGAUCCAGCAAUGCCGCGUGGGUGAAGAAGGCCUUCGGGUUGUAAACUGCUUUUGUACGGAACGAAACGGUCCUGGCUAAUAUCCGGGGCUAAUGACGGUACCGUAAGAAUAAGCACCGGCUAACUACGUGCCAGCAGCCGCGGUAAUACGUAGGGUGCGAGCGUUAAUCGGAAUUACUGGGCGUAAAGCGUGCGCAGGCGGUGCUGUAAGACAGGCGUGAAAUCCCCGGGCUCAACCUGGGAAUUGCGCUUGUGACUGCAGUGCUGGAGUGCGGCAGAGGGGGAUGGAAUUCCGCGUGUAGCAGUGAAAUGCGUAGAUAUGCGGAGGAACACCGAUGGCGAAGGCAAUCCCCUGGGCCUGCACUGACGCUCAUGCACGAAAGCGUGGGGAGCAAACAGGAUUAGAUACCCGUGUAGUCC